UUUUUUAAAAUGUCGGGCACACGAAAAUAUACACUUUUAACACACACAGCGGCCCCAGGACUUGUUCUCGGGCCCCACCCGAGUGAGGGUGGGGUGACCAAAAUCAAAGACCACAGUGUC
rnacentral:rRNA from 1 species